UCAAACUGGAGAUGGCGACCGGCGCACGGGUGAGUAACACGUAUCCAACCUGCCGAUAACUCGGGGAUAGCCUUUCGAAAGAAAGAUUAAUACCCGAUGGCAUAGUUCUUCCGCAUGGUAGAACUAUUAAAGAAUUUCGGUCAUCGAUGGGGAUGCGUUCCAUUAGGUUGUUGGCGGGGUAACGGCCCACCAAGCCUUCGAUGGAUAGGGGUUCUGAGAGGAAGGUCCCCCACAUUGGAACUGAGACACGGUCCAAACUCCUACGGGAGCAGCAUG
rnacentral:rRNA from 1 species